rnacentral:rRNA from 1 species
GAAGUAAAAGUCGUAACAAGGUUUCCGUAGGUGAACCUGCGGAAGGAUCAUUAAAAGUAUAUAGUUAUACAUUCUGUGUAUCGACUAAAUAUACCCAUUCUGAGUACCUUGCCUGUUGCUUCCAUGGAGCCUGACACAUGUCACUCUGGGGAUUUACAUCCCGAGGGAGCCUCCGUGGAAGGUAAUCAAUUAACUCUUGAAUCCAAUGUCAUCUGUCUGAUAAUGUUUAUAACAAAUGUUAAAACUUUCAACAACGGAUCUCUUGGUUCUCGCAUCGAUGAAGAACGCAGCGAAAUGCGAUAAGUAGUGUGAAUUGCAGAAUUCAGUGAAUCAUCGAAUCUUUGAACGCACAUUGCGCCUCCUGGUAUUCCGGGAGGCAUGCCUGUUCGAGCGUCAUUAAAUACCACUCAAGCUCUUCUGCUUGGUCAUGGAAGAAGAGAAUGCUUGCAUCCUCUCUUCUGAAAUCGAACGGCGGACUGCCUCAUGUGCCUCGCGUAGUAAGUUUAUCUUUUCGCUUGGAGUGUGAGAUAGUCUCGCCAUCAACCCCCAUACUUCUAAGGUUGACCUCGGAUCAGGUAGGGAUACCCGCUGAACUUAAGCAUAUCAAUAAGCGGAGGAA